GUGUAGCAGGGCUGGGAGGAGAGGGUCCUGGAGAAACGCGGACAGGUCCAGGUGGGUUUUGGCAGGUCCUCACCCUCUCUAGGCCCCAUUCUCAUCUG
ensembl:miRNA